GCUUACGGCCACACCGGCCUGAGUACGCCUGAUCUCGUCCGAUCUCGGAAGCUAAGCAGGGUCGGGCCUGGUUAGUACUUGGAUGGGAGACCCCGCGGGAAUACCAGGUGCUGUAAGCU
rnacentral:rRNA from 1 species